rnacentral:rRNA from 1 species
AGUCGAACGAGAGAAUUGCUAGCUUGCUAAUAAUUCUCUAGUGGCGCACGGGUGAGUAACACGUGAGUAACCUGCCCCCGAGAGCGGGAUAGCCCUGGGAAACUGGGAUUAAUACCGCAUAGUAUCGAAAGAUUAAAGCAGCAAUGCGCUUGGGGAUGGGCUCGCGGCCUAUUAGUUAGUUGGUGAGGUAACGGCUCACCAAGGCGAUGACGGGUAGCCGGUCUGAGAGGAUGUCCGGCCACACUGGAACUGAGACACGGUCCAGACACCUACGGGUGGCAGCAGUCGAGAAUCAUUCACAAUGGGGGAAACCCUGAUGGUGCGACGCCGCGUGGGGGAAUGAAGGUCUUCGGAUUGUAAACCCCUGUCAUGUGGGAGCAAAUUAAAAAGAUAGUACCACAAGAGGAAGAGACGGCUAACUCUGUGCCAGCAGCCGCGGUAAUACAGAGGUCUCAAGCGUUGUUCGGAAUCACUGGGCGUAAAGCGUGCGUAGGCUGUUUCGUAAGUCGUGUGUGAAAGGCGCGGGCUCAACCCGCGGACGGCACAUGAUACUGCGAGACUAGAGUAAUGGAGGGGGAACCGGAAUUCUCGGUGUAGCAGUGAAAUGCGUAGAUAUCGAGAGGAACACUCGUGGCGAAGGCGGGUUCCUGGACAUUAACUGACGCUGAGGCACGAAGGCCAGGGGAGCGAAAGGGAUUAGAUACCCCUGUAGUCCUGGCAGUAAACGGUGCACGCUUGGUGUGCGGGGAAUCGACCCCCUGCGUGCCGGAGCUAACGCGUUAAGCGUGC